UGGAAGCUUAGUGAAAUGCUGCCUUCCUAUUCUAUUGAGUGAGCACUGAUGAGCCUAUUCUCAGGAAACUUGAUCCUAUCCUGAGAUAGAUCCCUUCCCCUUUCCUGCCCUCCAGCCCACAAGGUUCAAGGUUCCCUCUCUCUCUCUCUCUCUCUCUCUCUCUCUCCCUAAUAGAGGUUUUUGUCUCCUUUCAAC
rfam:Canis lupus familiaris chromosome 5, whole genome shotgun sequence.